AUGUAGUGCUAGGGGUGCUAUAAGAGCUGAGAAAUGAAUUAUUUAUGACUAAUUCAUUAACCCUUGUACCUGAACUAGAUAAUUCUAGCGUAGGGAAGCCUUUUAUAGAUAUA
rnacentral:ncRNA from 1 species